rnacentral:lncRNA from 1 species
GUCGGCCAAAUGUCACGUGACAUUUGACCUUGACUCGGCACCAAAAUUUGAUGACAAAUACUGCGCGGUUGAUACAUUUGAUGGCGUCAACAAACUGCUUGCUCCAAAUCUUAUACAAUUUUAAGCUUGUAUCAAAUUUGCAAUCUUUUCUCUUGUAUUUUGCUGUGACCUGCCUAGUAUUUUAUUGCAGAUUGCAGAGCUCUUACUCUGAUUCAGUUUUGUGUUAGCAAGCAGCAUGCCAGGGUGUUUUGCAUCUGGGUGCAGCCACCACAACAGCGCUGCAAGAUGUAGGUACAUUUAGGAGGUUUACAAGAGAGGAGAAGAUGAGGGUCGCUUGGGUGAGGGCUGUCAGACGUGCAGAUGCAGUUCCCAGGAGCACUUCCCAGCUCUGUUCCUGUCAUUUUGAAGAGGGCAGCUGCAUCCCAACACUCUUCCAGUACAACGGGACAUCGGGUACCAGAUUGCUCAUUUCCGGUCGCCUGUGCUACACCAAGCUCAGAAAGGGAAAGCGGAUCACACAGCCACCAUCAGCGCGCUAGAACUCCAAGGAGGAUCUGCGAGCGGCGCACCAGGCGCCGUCGGAGCAGCCCCUGGUAGCGACAGCCGCCGCGCCGUCGGAGCAGUCCCUGGGAGCCACGGCCAGCCGCUGUCGGAGCAGCCUCUGGGAGCCGGCCGGCCGCCGUCGGAGAGGCCUCUGGGAGCUUACCUGUAACUGACUGCGGCUGACGUGUGUGUCCGUGUGCGCGCGUGUGUGUGUGCGUUUCCACUGGCAGUGAUAGUGACAGGUGAACGGUGUUCAUGACCGAUGGCCGGCGGUCUUUGUUGUUAUUCUGAUAAUACGUAUGAGACAUUGUUUUAAUAUGUUUUGUUCUGAAACGUUUCCAAAAACUGAAUCACUUCAUUAUCAUUCUACUUUCAAGCAUGUUUACCAGAUAAAAGGAUUUGCAAAUCAAAGGAAGUAAAAUUGUGUGAAAAUUUACUCAGUUGCGCAGCUAGCCAACACACAUUUGCUACUGUCAGGCCGCUAUGGAACAUGUUCAAAGUAGCUCAACGUAUUGAAUGACUCACUGCUCCCCCCCCCCCCCCCCCGCCAACGUUGGCGCGCAUUGGGCGCAGGCACAAGAGUGGUAUCAACGACCGCCGUCUUGAGCUGCACCAGGGUCUGCUGGCUCUUCGUCAUGUAUGGUGCAUUGUUCAGAUAUCCCCGCUGCACGCUGUACGCUGUACGCCACUGUUUCGUUAUAAUAUUUUCUGCUCGAUUUGUUUGAAAUAUGGAAAUAUGUAUAGACACUGGAUGUGCAAAGCGUCCGUGUAGGACA